GACGAACGCUGGCGGCGUGCUUAACACAUGCAAGUCGAACGGAAAGGCCCUGCUUGCAGGGUACUCGAGUGGCGAACGGGUGAGUAACACGUGGGUGAUCUGCCCUGCACUUCGGGAUAAGCCUGGGAAACUGGGUCUAAUACCGGAUAGGAGCCAUUUUUAGUGUGAUGGUUGGAAAGUUUUUUCGGUGUGGGAUGAGCUCGCGGCCUAUCAGCUUGUUGGUGGGGUAAUGGCCUACCAAGGCGGGGACGGGUAGCCGGCCUGAGAGGGUGGCCGGCCACAUUGGGCUUGGGUUACGGCCAGACUCCCACCGGAGGGAGGCAGUGGGGAUAUUUGACCAAUGGGGGAAAGCCUGAUCCGGCAACGCCGCGUGGGGGAUACCGGCCUCCGGGUUGAAAACCCCUUUCGCUAGGACCGAAGCUUUUGUGACGGUACCUAGAUAAGAAGCACCGGCUAACUACGUG
rnacentral:rRNA from 1 species